UUAGAUUAAUAUCGCUAUUUUUUUCACAAAAUUAAAGCCGUCAUCUGUCAAUCUGUCAAUGAUUGCACAGUUUUCAGACACACGUUUCAUAGUUCAUACAAUCGAACCGUAGAAUAUUUAAUUAUUUAACGAUAUUCGAGUGAAUCGCUUUUUUUGUUUCGCUAGGCUGACUUAAGGGUUCUGGGUUAAAUGACAAAUCACAAAAUAAAUUUAAAAAAAUCUAAUUUUGGUUAUACAUUACAGUAUUGAAUUAUCACCUAAUAAGUAACACGAGGAUAACAAAGAUGUUUUUAAAAACAGAAAUACUAAAUGAUAUUAAAGAAGAACCAAACGAAGCCACAGAGUUAUACGAAGUGGAUGUUAAAAUUGAAGAUGAUUUGGUGAUUGAGGAUGAAGUGUUGCAGAAAGUAAUUCAAGAGUACAAUCACCUUUAUUAUGAGCCGAAUGCAGAUUUUGUUUGCUUUUUUUGCCAUAAACAUUUCCAAAGCAGAAAUGAUGUCCUACAACACAAUUUAACACAUGUUACCAUCUCAAGUAAGAAGCUUAUUUAUUUCUUUUGUCACUACUGUCCCAAGUAUUUCAAUGAGAAAUUUUCAUUAGUGGAGCAUAUAAUGAUUAAACAUACAUCAAAAAGAAGUAAGAAGCUAGGUACAUGUAAGAUAUGCAAGAAGGAAUUCAAACAUAUCUAUUUGUCAGAUCAUAUGAGAACUGUUCACCACCAAGGGCAAGUACAAUGUGAUGUGUGCAAUAAAGUAUUUGGUUGUAAAAAGUAUAUGAAAAACCAUAAAAAGAAUGUGCAUAAUGUAAAAUGUAAGUUAGAAAAUGGUAUGGUAGAACCUGUGGAAUGCACUUUAUGUUUGAAAAUAUUUAAGAGCAAAGAUGCACUGAAAACACACAUGCGUCACUGUCACAGUACAUCAACAUCAUGCAAGGUGUGUGGGUCUAUAUUGAAGUGUCAUGCAUACCUUAAAGCUCAUAUGAACAGAGUACAUUACAAUGACGGGAAGCAGCACUGCUGUGACAUUUGUGGAAAAUCAUUUAGGUCUCCCCGAUAUUUGAAGGUACACAAGAAGAAUGCACACAGCUUGAAAGCCAAGAUUAAAUUUGAAAGGCCAAAAUUCAAGGAGGAUAAAAAUGUGUUAUCAGAAUUAUAGCAUUUGGGUAAUGGAAUCCAUUUGUAUGAUAUGUUAUGCCGGUUGAAUGUUAUUAAUAUCUGGCUACUGCAGUAACAAAGAAGACAGCAAAGCAGUUUGCACAUUUGGGUACUUUUCAAUAAUUAAAUCAGAAAGUUAUGGAUGAAGUAUCAUUUAAUGAGAAUAUCAAAUAAAGAACCUAUUGUAUGUGAAGAUUCCAACAUUAUAUUUAAAAAAUAUUUAAUAUUUCAAUAUUUAUAUUUAUAAAACUAUUUAACAAGUUAUUUAAAUCCUACAA